CUACGGGCCGCUGCAGUGGGGAAUAUUGGGCAAUGGGCGCAAGCCUGACCCAGCAACGCCGCGUGAGGGAAGAAGGUUUUCGGAUUGUAAACCUCUGUCCUUGGGGACGAAGAAGUGACGGUACCCAAGGAGGAAGCUCCGGCUAACUACGUGCCAGCAGCCGCGGUAAUACGUAGGGAGCAAGCGUUGUCCGGAAUUACUGGGCGUAAAGGGUGCGUAGGCGGCAUAUUAAGUCAGGUGUGAAAUACUCGGGCUCAACCCGGGGGCUGCAUUUGAAACUGAUAUGCUUGAGUGUGAGAGAGGAAAGUGGAAUUCCUAGUGUAGCGGUGGAAUGCGUAGAUAUUAGGAGGAACACCAGUGGCGAAGGCGACUUUCUGGCUCAUAACUGACGCUGAGGCACGAAAGCGUGGGGAGCAAACAGGAUUAGAUACCCUUGUAGUC
rnacentral:rRNA from 1 species